rnacentral:rRNA from 1 species
GAUGAACGCUGGCGGCGUGCCUAAUACAUGCAAGUCGAGCGAACAGACGAGGAGCUUGCUCCUCUGACGUUAGCGGCGGACGGGUGAGUAACACGUGGAUAACCUACCUAUCAGACUGGGAUAACUUCGGGAAACCGGAGCUAAUACCGGAUAAUAUUUUGAACCGCAUGGUUCAAUAGUGAAAGACGGCUUUGCUGUCACUUAUAGAUGGAUCCGCGCUGCAUUAGCUAGUUGGUAAGGUAACGGCUUACCAAGGCGACGAUGCGUAGCCGACCUGAGAGGGUGAUCGGCCACACUGGAACUGAGACACGGUCCAGACUCCUACGGGAGGCAGCAGUAGGGAAUCUUCCGCAAUGGGCGAAAGCCUGACGGAGCAACGCCGCGUGAGUGAUGAAGGUCUUCGGGUCGUAAAACUCUGUUGUUGGGGAAGAAAAAAUGUAUAAGUAUCUCUGCACGUCUUGACGGUACCUAAUCAGAAAGCCACGGCUAACUUCGUG